AUUGAACGCUGGCGGCAGGCCUAACACAUGCAAGUCGAGCGAGCGGCGGACGGGUGAGUAAUGUCUGGGAAACUGCCUGAUGGAGGGGGAUAACUACUGGAAACGGUAGCUAAUACCGCAUACCAUCAGAUGUGCCCAGAUGGGAUUAGAUAGUAGGUGGGGUAACGGCUAACCUAGGCGACGAUCCCUAGCUGGUCUGCGAGGAUGACAAGCAACACUGGAACUGAGACACGGUCCAGACUCCUACGGGAGGCAGCAGUGGGUACUAUUGCACAAUGGGCGCAAGCCUGAUGCAGCCAUGCCGCGUGUAGGAAGAAGGCCUUCGGGUUGUAAAGUACUUUCAGCGGGGAGGCGUUACCCGCAGAAGAAGCACCGGCUAACUCCGUGCCAGCAGCCGCGGUAAUUC
rnacentral:rRNA from 1 species